CGCGCAGGCGGGUUUUUAAGUCUGUCUUAAAAGUUCGGGGCUUAACCCCGUGAGGGGAUGGAAACUGGAAACCUAGAGUAUCGGAGAGGAAAGCGGAAUUCCUAGUGUAGCGGUGAAAUGCGUAGAUAUUAGGAAGAACACCAGUGGCGAAGGCGGCUUACUGGACGGUAACUGACGUUGAGGCUCGAAAGCAUGGGUAGCGAACA
rnacentral:rRNA from 1 species